AAGUCGUAACAAGGUUUCCGUAGGUGAACCUGCGGAAGGAUCAUUAAAAAGUGAUUGGUUAUACAUUUCAUGUAUCAACUGUCAUUAACCCAUUCCAGAGUACCCUUCGCCUGUUGCUUCCAUUGGGGCCUCGAGCCUACGUGCACUCUUGUGAUGUGAAACCCAAGAGAGUCCCCCAUGGGAGGUAAUCAUUAAAUUUCAUGUAUCCAAUGUCUUCUGUCUGAACUGUUUAUAACAAAUGUUAAAAA
rnacentral:misc_RNA from 1 species